AACGAACGCUGGCGGCGCGUCUUAAGCAUGCAAGUCGAACGGCAAGAGAGAAGCUUGCUUCUCUCCUAGAGUGGCGGACUGGUGAGGAACACGUGGGUAAUCUACCCUUAAGAUGGGGAUAGCUGCUAGAAAUAGCAGGUAAUACCGAAUACACUCAGUGCUUCACAAGAGGUAUUGAGGAAAGGAAGCUACGGCUUCGCUUAAGGAUGAGCUUGCGUCCCAUUAGCUAGUUGGUGAGGUAACGGCCCACCAAGGCGACGAUGGGUAUCCGGCCUGAGAGGGUGAUCGGACACAUUGGGACUGAGAUACGGCCCAAACUCCUACGGGAGGCAGCAGCUAAGAAUAUUCCGCAAUGGACGAAAGUCUGACGGAGCGACGCCGCGUGGAUGAAGAAGGCUGAAAAGUUGUAAAAUCCUUUUGUUGAUGAAGAAUAAGGGGAAGAGGGAAUGCUUCUCUGAUGACGGUAAUCAGCGAAUAAGCCCCGGCUAAUUACGUG
rnacentral:rRNA from 1 species